rnacentral:lncRNA from 1 species
UGCAGAUAUUGUUUACUAAAUAAUUCUAUUUUUAUAUUUCCACAUUUAACUUAAGGAAAAGUAAAUUUUUCGUAACGUUCCGGUAUUUAUAGUAAAAUUGGGGCAUUACACUUCACUCGACGGACAUACAGAAUUUCAUUCAAAAUUCUACUCUUAGUUCAACUAGUAUACAACAGAGUUUGGGUCAUCUCGCUCCAGCUUACAGGUAAUGGAUUUUCUUGACACACAUUUUGCCACAAAAACCCUAGAGGCCGACCCAGUGUGAGCGACC